AGGAAUACACUGAUACUGGUUCACGACUAAGAAUACCUUCAGUCGGAAGAACGCACAGACACAAACCAGUGCUCCUGGAAGAGGUCUUUAUACGUCGUGUGAGGUCUUAUUGUGACUCAGAGUUUCGGACGUCUAGGGGACCUCCCAGGUGCUAGAACAGAGAAGAGAAGCACUUGAUGCGUUCCUACCUGAACCUAUGUGUACCUAGAAGAUCGGAGGGAGUGUGGAGCAGUGCAAGGAGUGAUAAGAGCUUUGAGAGUGAGUUUUCCAGCGUCAGUGAUGGAUCCGAAGAUCUUCAUUCUCCUGGUUUUUACAGGAGUCGUCCCCUUCGUCCUGUCUGUCUCUCGUAGGUACUAUCUGUUCCAGGAAGGGAAGACAUGGAAUGAUGCUCAGUCUUACUGCAAAGCCAACUACAUCGACCUGGCUGUCAUCAGCAGUGAUGAAGAUAAGAUCCAGUUUCAGAA